UCACAAUCUAAUAUUUCGUUUAGACUCUUCCAGUAGAGGGCUGUUCGAGAGCAUGCGCACAAACGCAGCAAGAGAACAUUAUUCCUCCUGUCACCAGUGCCUGUCACAACAUUGAGGGGCAAAACGACAGCAGUGUGGUCUCUGGCUUCUAAUAGAUCUGUGAAGACAUAGAAUGUGAUUGGAAUGGAAGCUCGGAGAAGAAGUCCCUGAUUGGCCGAAAGACUGGGCGGGUGCACAUACCAAACGAAUCGAUCCUGUCUCAAAUGAUGCAGGCAGAGGAUAGGAAGAAAAGGAGUUUCAGCAAGGGCGUGGCGGAGGAAUAUUGUCUAAGAGUGAGUAGGCCUGGACCUGACCGCACCUGAGCUCAUUAUCAUGACAACAUUAUACCUGUUGGCUGAAAAGUUAAGUGUUGCCCAAGUUUCUGUCCGCAAACUAACAACUGUGUCAUUUCAGGAGCGACCAAACGAGGACACCGUAAAAAUGAAGAACAAAGUGACAAGCACACAAGCAGUGAGGGGUAAGAAGAAGGCAUGGUCGUGGGAUCAAUACCUGGGAGAGAAGAAGGUCAUAGCAGCUCCCCUAAGACUCUUCACUGAGGUAAGCAUCACCUUCAUCAACCAGUAGGUAUACAGUGCAUUCGGAAAGUAUUCAGACCCUUUGACUUUUUCCACAUUUUGUUACGUUGCAGCCUUAUUCUAAAAUUGAUUCAAUUGUUGUUUUUUCCCCAUCAAUCUACACACAAUAUCUCAUAAUGAUAAAGCAAAAAUCUAGUAAAAAUAAAUAUCACAUUUUACAUAAGGAUUCAGACCCUUUGCUCAGUACUUUGUUGAAGCACCUUUGGCAACUUGAGGCUGUUAUCAUUUUCUUGGUUAUCAAGCUAUAAGCUUGGCACACUUGUAUUUGGGGAGUUUCUCCCAUUCUACUCUGCAGAUCCUCUCAAGCUCUGUCAGGUUGGAUGGGGAGUGUCACUGCACUGCUAUUUUCAGGUCUUUCCAGAUAUGUUUGAUCGGGUUCCAGUCCGGGUUCUGGCUUGGUCACUCAAAGACAUUCAGAGACUUGCCCCGAAGCCACUCCCGCAUUGUCUAGGCUGUGUGCUUCAGGUCGUUGUCCUGUUGGAAGGUCCGGAGCGCUCUGAAGCAGGUUUUCAUCAAUGAUCUCUCUGUACUUUCCUCUAUUCAUCUUUCCCUCGAUCCUGACUAGUCUCCCAGUCCCUGCCGCUGAAAAACAUCCCCACAGCAUGAUGCUGCCACCACCAUGCCUCACCGUAGGGAUGGUGUCAGGUUUCCUCCAGACGUGACACUUGGCAUUCAGGCUAAAGACUUCAAUAUUGGUUUCAUCAGACCAGAGAAUCUUGUUUCUCAUGAUCCGAGAGACGUUUAAGUGCCUUUUGGCAAACCCCAAGCGGGCUGUCAUGUGCCUUUUACUGAGGAGUUUAUUUAUUAAUUAUUUUAUUUCACCUUUAUUUAACCAGGUAGGCUAGUUGAGAACAGGUUCUCAUUUACAACUGCGACCUGGCCAAGAUAAAGCAUAGCAGUGUGAACAGACAACAACACAGAGUUACACAUGGAGUAAACAAUAAACAAGUCAAUAACAGAUUCGGAAAAAAAGAGUCUAUAUACAUUGUGUGCAAAAGGCAUGAGGAGGUAGGCCAUAGGAGCGAAUAAUUUGAAUUUAGCAGAUUAACACUGGAGUGAUAAAUGAUCAGAUGGUCAUGUGCAAGUAGAGAUACUGGUGUGCAAAAGAGCAGAAAGUAAAUAAAUAAAAACAGUAUGGGGAUGAGGUAGGUAAAUUGAGUGGGCUAUUUACAGAUGGACUAUGUACAGCUGCAGCGAUCGGUUAGCUGCUCAGAUAGCAGAUGUUUAAAGUUGGUGAGGGAAAUAAAAGUCUCCAACUUCAGCAAUUUUUGCAAUUCGUUCCAGUCACAGGCAGCAGAGAACUGGAAGGAAAGGCGGCCAAAUGAGGUGUUGGCUUUAGGGAUGAUCAGUGAGAUACACCUGCUGGAGCGCGUGCUACGGGUGGGUGUUGCCAUCGUGACCAGUGAACUGAGAUAAGGUGGAGCUUUACCUAGCAUGGACUUGUAGAUGACCUGGAGCCAGUGGGUCUGGCGACGAACAUGUAGCGAGGGCCAGCCGACUAGAGCAUACAGGUCGUAGUGGUGGGUGGAAUAAGGUGCUUUAGUGACAGGCCACGGAAGGAGAGUUGUAUGGCAUUGAAGCUCGUUUGAAGGUUAGAUGGCAGUGUCCAAGGAAGGGCCAGAAGUAUACAGAAUGGUGUCGUCUGCGUAGAGGUGGAUCAGGGAAUCGGCUGCAGCAAGAGCAACAUCAUUGAUAUAUACAGAGAAAAGAGUCGGCCCGAGAAUUGAACCUUGUGGUACCCCCAUAGAGACUGCCAGAGGACCGGACAACAUGCCCUCGGAUUUGACACACUGAACUCUGUCUACAAAGUAGCUGGUGAACCAGGCAAGGCAGUUAUUAGAAAAACCGAGGCUACUGAGUCUGCCGAUUAAGAAUAUGGUGAUUGGUAGAGUCGAAAGCCUUGGCCAGGUCGACGAAGAUGGCUGCACAGUACUGUCUUUUAUCGAUGGUGGUUAUGAUAUCGUUUAGUACCUUGAGUGUGGCUGAGGUGCACCCGUGACCGUCUUGGAAACCGGAUUGCACAGCGGUGGGAUUGUGGGAUUCGAGAUGGUCAGUGAUCUGUUUGUUGACUUGGCUUUCGAAGACCUUAGAUAGGCAGGGCAGGAUGGAUAUAGGUCUGUAACAGUUUGGGUCUAGGGUGU
rnacentral:lncRNA from 1 species